GGAUGGAUCACUUGAUAAUUACCUGUUCUGUUCAUUCCUUCUGGGCACCUGGCAUUGGCCCCUCUUGGAAGCCAAAAUACUAGGCUAGAUGGACCUUUGGUCUGACCCAGUUUGGCCAUUCUAAUGUAUGUAAGGGACUGUGUGGCCAAGGCCUGUUCUAUGCUAUAUCCUAGACUUUUCUCCAGCUCUGGAAAGUUCAUUAGGAGGUAAAAACAAGAGCUCCUUAGCAUUCAGAUUUAUGCCACUUCAAUCACCGGGGACCUUCCUAAAUGGGCAUCUGUCCUUCAUUCAUACAGUGGGUAUGCAGAGGCCUCUUAAAAAUCUUAUUUUUGACUUCAGCUGUCUUGGGUUGCUGAUCUGACCAUUAACUACAGUCUCUUUAGGGGUGGGGUUUUGUUUACUCCAGCAGUCUAUCCCAGCUCAGCACUGCUUUGCUUUCUUCAUCCAUUUUGCCUGAGAAAACUAGUGUGCUACUUGACAGGACUCAGGUUCUUUCUACAGUGGAAGCGGUACUGUGCAAGAUACAGGUGAGUUAAAAGCAUAGGUGUGACUUGGACGGUUCUAGUGCUUUGAAAACCACUUUUGACUUGCUGAUAAAGCCAUGCUAUAGUAGAUUAACAUUGGUUAUAGGGGGGUUAGUCCAUAGCAUCUUUUGUUCACAACUUAUGGGGUUUCAUUUUUUUCUUACGCAGGAGAAAAAUCCACAGCUUAGCAAAAUAAACCUUCUGUCAAAGGUUUCUUCCAUGUUUUGUUUCACAUUAAAAACUUCAUUUGUCUUUAGUGGUCGUAUGCUUGCUUGGCAGAAGAAUGUUUUGACCAUCAAGUUUAAAGCAUCUAAUGACCACUUGGGCUAAAGGACUCAUUCAGUAUCCCAGCAUCUUCAGUUAAAGUGAGAUCUCUCAAUACACCGAAGCUGUCCUGCAGCAAAGCCUGGAAAGACUAGACUUGAUAUGCCCAAGACAGCCUGAAAUCAUGGACUUGAGGAGUGAACCAGCAUCAUCUGUCUAUGCUUCUGAAGUUUCUCCUCUACACUUUGAAGGCUAUUUGCUUUCCUUUCACAGUGUUUGGAAAGAGAGUUCCAAAAUUCUCCUACGUUGUCAAGACAAGCUCUGAAGGUCAGAUUUAUCAUGUUCUCAUCUUGUGUGAAUGCAUUAAGUUUGAUAUGAGGAAACUAUCUAAUCACCAGAAUUCUUAAAGCAAAUUGCCUUUUAAUCUUCCAAAUGCUGCCUUUAAUAUCAAUAUUAAUAUAUCAGUCAGUGAUCUAGCUUUUUUUAAAGCAAUAACUGUCUUAAUAUAUUUGAGUUAGAUGGUCACAGAAAUACACAACUUAUACGUAAAUAAAUAAUGUUUUAACCAAAGGUCACACAUGAUGGAAGCAACAAGUGCUAACAGUCCUUGGAGUUUCAGAAAGACAAAUAUUCAGACCAGAGUUGUGUUGCAAAGUUAAAAGCUAUGAAUAUUCCAGUUGGUAAAUAAAGAUUGUAAUCUAACUGUGCUGAAUUAGAUUAACAGUUAAGGUUUCAGAUCUAGAAACUUUUUUUUUAUAGACCAACUUUAGUGGGUUGAAGACACACUAGUAAAUGACUCGCUUUAUACUGACUACAGAAAAGACUGACAGUAGCAAAUAAGUACAACAAAAGUUACCCUGGAUUUGGUGGGUACACUUAUUACUACCCUUCCCUUCUUUCACUGUAGUUUCUAUGGGCCAAGUUCUGUAUCUCCUGAGCAUGAUGAGAAGCCAAAGAGACCAGCUGUAGAUAGACUUCUUGCUUCUGUAUCCUUGAUUAUCCACACAUGGAUAUAGACCAUUGCACCCUGCCUCAGUUACAUACAGAGCCAGUUCAUCUCCACAAGACUUCAGUCAUGACCCUGUGUAAUUUCUAAAGCCUUUCCUGUUCAACAGCAAGGAUGUCAUGUGCAAAGUUAGCCUAGCUCCCCAUUACUAUUGCACUCCCAUGGUAAACAGGCUUAUAGCUCUGCAACUGGUUAAACAGAAGUAGUUCAGUGUGUAACACUUUUCUUUAAUAGCACCAUGAUUUGUGAGAUUGAGAUGGGUGCUUUUCUUGAGAUGAACCAGCUGCCUGAACAACAUGCUUCAUUGUGGUACAUGUAGAAAGUGAGCCAAAAUUAGCCCUAAAUAGUUUGCCUCUGUAGAAGUAAAUAUUUGCAUUUGUCAGGGAGAGAAUUACUUUGCUGUAUGCUUCAUUAGGGACCAUAUAGAUGAUCCCAACCAGAAAAGGAACAGGGCCCCAUGGAAGCCCACUUGAACAAUGUUAUUGCAAACUGGAUAUUUAACUGUUUGCCCUCACUUGCAAAUUUUUCCACAUUUAAGAGACCUGAUUAAACAUCAAAAUGUAAAACUAGUUUUUUCCUCAAUUAUAGUACACUUUAUAUGAAUAGCAAAAAAAAGAACAGAGUAGAUAACUGAGGACAAUGGAAUGUUCUGUGAAUUAUAUUCAGGAAAUAUGCUUUCAUCUGUCAAUUAGAAACAGCCACUCUUUAAAGCCCCUCCCAAAAGAUUUAUACCUGAGUGCAGAAUUUCCUACAUAUUAAUAGGUAAACUAGAUACUCUGAAAAUAAGCGCUAAUAUGUGAAGUUAGAAACUGUACAAAAAUAGCAUAGGAAAAGCUUAGUUAAGCACCAUUUGGAGUUAGUCACCAAAUGGAAGGGCUCUCAUACUUCAGCAGAUAUUCCUUGCAUUGGUAUGUCAAGCUUCCUUUAGUUGAGCAACUGACAGAUCUCUUUAUGGACACAGCAUAGGAAAUCAACAUAAGAAGCUCCUCCGUAAAGACUUUUGUCUUCCACCAGCUUCCCUGGUGCUUCAGCAGUUGGCAAUGAAGAAUGGAAAAUAAACAACUUUCCAGCGCAUUCUGCUGCCUGUUACAAAUACACAGUAACAACCUUUUAUUCUGCUGGUGGUAUAAACAGAUUAACCUGAUUUUCAUGCAUUUGCGUAAACAAAAGUGUAAACUUUCCCUAAAUCCUCGUAAGCUAAAUUGUCCAUUUGUUUAGAGACUGAACUCUUCAUGGCACCAAAAUCCCAAAAGAAAAUCACUGGGAAUUUAAUAUCCAUAAAUAGCUUAAUCUAACAUAGAUAUGUCUGGUCAUAUGUGGUGUUUCAGUGAUUUCCACAUAGGAAUCUAGUCUCGAUGGACAAAGUUAACGAUACGUAUCCCAGACUGCUGUCAAUUUAAUUUUUUUUUUUAACGCCCAUGAGUUAAAUAGAAGGUACUACUGCAAUAUAAAUGUUAAACAACAAGAUGCAAUAAAGAAUAAACAGAUAGUGCAAUUCUGUAGUUCUUAUGCAUGAGUGAGUCCCACUGCAGUCAGAGUGGUGUGUGAACAAGGACAGAAGAAUCUGGCCCCCUCUCAAUUCUUUUUUCUCCACUUAAAUAAUGUCAAUAAAAGUUAUACAUAUAUAUCUGGAGAAGUUCUUUUUUAAAAAAAACAAUUUCCAAUUUAAAUCAUAUGUUGCAGGGAAUGAGAGAGUUUUUUUCUUCUUGGAUCACUAGGGGUAUAUGAACACCCAGGCUGAAGUCAAGGAAUCUUUAAAGGGUCUGAAGACAACAGCCUAACUUUGCUCAUGGGAUCCCUUAAUAUUUGAGCAAAGCUUAACAGUUAGGCUAAAAGAAGGGUUGCUAUGGUGUUCCAGAUUUUUUAAGAUUCUUUGUAUUCAUCCUGUACGUUUAUAUAUCUUGCUAGCCAGAAAAAAACCUUGUGCUGUCCAGGCAUGAUAUCUUUAUGGCCCUGAACCAAAUCUAAUUGAGGAAGUCUUUUCACUGACUUCAAUGGGCUUUGGAUCAGACCCCAUAUAGUAUGGGACAAGCCCAAAAAGAAAAAUUAUGGGGUUAGAGGAUGGCUGACGAGAUUGGUAAAGGGACCCACAGCCUUUCUGCUCGAGGUUGCAAAUAUCAUGUGGCUUGGUGCUAGCAACUGUUUGGCCACCUGCAUGAAGUAAGUUUGUAUUCUUAGUCCAGUAUCUAUUGAACAAGUGUCCACAUCACACAAAGCUACCCCCCUGACGGAAGUCUCAGCAGGGAAUCCAAAGACUGAAUGGAUGCUGAAAUUGAAAAAACCUUCUCAGGUGGUCCUUCCAACUCAGGCCAGAUGCACAUAGGUUGUAGGGAAGUCAAUAUGGGCUGUCUGUGUACACAGAAGACAUUGGGCCAGAUCCUUGGCUGGUGAAAGUUAGCAAAGCUAUGCUGACUUCAGUGGAGCUAUACUGAUUUACACCAGCUGAGGAUCUGGCCCUCUUUUGCUAAGUCCAGCAUCUAGCAUAGGUGGUAAAUUUUAAGAAAAUGACCUCAAACGGUAUUCAGGAAUUUAGGAGUUCUCUAUAUUCUUCAACUAACUCACCACCACCACAAGUCUUCUGCCAAAAUUUUACCUAAGCUUCCAUUUCACCUACUUAUGAAGACAGUGUGAUCAUUUUAAUAAUUGCUAACAGCUGGCAGGACAGCAGUUGUUAGAUUCUAAUAGGAAUGUUCUGCACUGAAGUGAACAGAACGACUGGCAAAAGUGUGGGAUGUUACAGAUAUAGGAACACAAAGAAAAACAGUCUACUUGGCUAAUCGGAUGACUUGCAGAAUAAAUGUACACAAGAAGUUUCCAGACAGGUCCAGACUGACCUGUUAUCAAGUGAAUUCAUUACUAGGUUUAUAAUUUUCUUGUGCCUGUACUUACUGUAUAUUUGUUUAUUUCUUUCCCUCGUGAGAGAUGUCUAUUCCAUUUGGCAUUUUUAUAAUUUUUAUAUAUAAAUGCGUAAUAUUUUUAAAAGAUUUUUUUUGUAAAAGUCCUAAAAAUAUUUAAUUCAAUGCACAUGAGCCACUAUUCAGGUUUUUUUUUAAAUUUAAGAAUGAAUGAAUGAAUUCUUGAGGGAAAUGCCUGGCAUCAAAAAUUACACUUCUAGAUGGAAAAGUCAAAACUACCAGUAUCUACACAUGUAAAAAAAGUUUCUUCCUGUAAUUAAGGGAUGCGGUAAAUGCAAUUAUAUUCAAAGUUUUUUUUACACUUAAAAUUUUAACAAAAUUUGGUAUUUGUCAACAGCUUCAGAUUGCCACCCUGCCGACUCAUGUGCUCAAUUCCCAGAACAGCAGAUGCAGCAACAGUACAAGUAUCCCAACCCUGUUCUACUUUAAUUGACAUUUCUAUUCAGAAGUGAUAAAUCCACAUUUAUUUAAUCCUUCAUCUUUCUACUGAGACUGCCCACUGGAGUGGAAACCAAAAUUAUAAUGGCCCUUUUUGUGAUUUGUUUAAAUAUUAAAGUUCCUGAUUUAAAAAAAAAAAAAGACACACGAAUGUGUGUGACUGCAUACCUAAAUUAUACUUGCAAUUCCAGUGACUAUGUACUACAUACA